AACGAACGCUUGCGGCGCGCCUAAUACAUGCAAGUCGAGCGAGAAAGUACUACGGUAUGAGUAAAGCGGCGGACGGGUGAGGAACACGUAGAGAAUCUGCCUUAAAGAGGGGGAUAACUAAUCGAAAGAUUAGCUAAUACUGCAUAAGACCACAGGGGCUGCGGCUCGAGGGGUAAAAGGAGUAAUCCACUUUAAGAUGAGUCUGCUUCCGAUUAGCUAGUUGGUGAGGUAAUGGCUCACCAAGCCAACGAUCGGUAACUGGUCUGAGAGGAUGACCAGUCACACUGGAACUGAGACACGGUCCAGACUCCUACGGGAGGCAGCAGUAGGGAAUAUUGCACAAUGGAGGAAACUCUGAUGCAGCGACGCCGCGUGAGUGAUGAAGGCCUUCGGGUUGUAAAACUCUGUGAUAAGGGAAGAUGAUGACGGUACCUUAUCAGAAAAGACCGGCUAACUUCGUGCCAGCCGCCGCUAAUAC
rnacentral:rRNA from 1 species